rnacentral:rRNA from 1 species
GAUAAUUGGGCUCUAAGAUAUGCACACAUCGCCCGUCGCUCUCGUGAUAAGUGAGAUAAGUCGUAACAUAGUAGAUGUAUUGGAAAAUGUAUCUAGAAAGUCA